GGCCCGACCGGAAGUGGCGCUGCAGAGCGCACGUCGCACUCACGCGACGUCACCAGAAGGCGCCGCGGUCAGCAUCCACGCUGUCUGAUUCACAUGGUGAAUUCAAGGUAUAAAGCUGUCAUCAUUAGUAACUGGAAUCCGGAUUUUCACCAGCCCAGUGCAUAGUGCAAGAGAUCCAUCCCAAACCUUCAUCUUAUCUGUGCCUGAACACCUUACUGAAGCAAUGAAGUAGCGAUGCAUGCCCACGACACUCCCAUCAGAAUCAGCCGCUCUGUGCAUCGCCACUCAGAAACAUCUACUUCAGAGCUGUGGUACGUGAGGAACAAGUCUUUUUUGGAGCAGCGCAUGGAUCAGGUCCAGACAUACCUGGAGAGCAUCCAAGUUGUUGUUGUUUCAUUGCAUAUAGAUUAGAUGGAUUUCAACUAAUGAAGUGAAUGAAUUAGUAUUAAACAGGACAGUCGCAGAACACUCUUGAUGCCCAUUACAUCAAGACAUCAAUACAUAUAUAAUUAGGUGGUAAUAGUGAAGGUAAAAAAAAAAUGAUAAUGGGUAUGUCGUAGUACACAAGACAUAUGAAAUGAUAAUAUAGCAUUGCCGUAUUCAUGGAAAAUGUGACGCAAAAUAAUGUGGGUACUAUACACUAUAUGGAUCUGUACAUUAUAGGUUGAUUUAGGAUAAGUACUGUAUGUCUGAUUGACAUCUGGCACCAUAGGCAUUUCUAUAAUGGGUGCAAUGUGUGCGGUGCACACGGGCCCCUUGAUCCAGGAAGGCCAACACCACACACUCUGCAGGCAGCCAUGUUUUUUUACUUACCUAUCCGUAGUCACGCGUCAGAGCACCAGUCGCAGUAUAAAAUUUGGCGACAAAUUGGUUGCCGCACAUACGCAUUAGGGUUUUUGUCUCUGAAACAUGGCGGGCACCAUGUUUCCGGAGACCUGCCCAUGCACAGUAGACUAUGGCAUGGGGCCAUUUUCCCGGCGCUUCACGCAUGCACAUGAGAACUAGACUCUGGGACAGCGCUAGGGUCCCCCAGUGACCAAAAUGCCCAGAGUCUACAGCGC